rnacentral:rRNA from 1 species
UACGAAGGGGGCUAGCGUUGCUCGGAAUUACUGGGCGUAAAGGGAGCGUAGGCGGAUAGUUUAGUCAGAGGUGAAAGCCCAGGGCUCAACCUUGGAAUUGCCUUUGAUACUGGCUAUCUUGAGUACGGAAGAGGUAUGUGGAACUCCGAGUGUAGAGGUGAAAUUCGUAGAUAUUCGGAAGAACACCAGUGGCGAAGGCGACAUACUGGCUCAUUACUGACGCUGAGGCUCGAAAGCGUGGGGAGCAAACAGG